rnacentral:lncRNA from 1 species
CAAGAUUCACAAGUUGGAUACGAUUCAAAAUCAUACUUGUUAAGGUACCCUUCCUUGUACAACUUGUAAAUUCUUUUCUCUCCAAUAUGACCAAGCCUACAAUGCCAAAGGUAUGUUUGAUUUACAUGAUCAUCUCUUUUCCUCUUAAGACUUGAAACAUGCAUAAUCGAAUUAGCAUUAACACUAGGUAAGACAUAAACAUCAUGUUGGAGAUAGCCAUUCACAUAUAAAAUAUCACUAUACUAAAUAGAGCAAAUAGCAUUGCCUAUAUUAAUGCGAAAACCUCGUUUGUCUAACAUAGAAGCUGAAAUUAUGUUCGAAACAAAUUUAAGAACGUAAUAACAAUCAUCCAACAUAAGUACUUUGCAUGUAGGCAUUAUUAAAGAAAUUGAUCCUACAGCUACGGCCGCAACUUUUGC